rnacentral:rRNA from 1 species
UAAAAAUAUAAAAUAAAAACCAUACUAGUAUUAGUUAUGUUCUUUAAAAUAAAAAAAUUUGACAGUAUUUUAAACUAUUCAGAGGAACCUGUUCUAUAAUUGAUACUCCACAAUUUAAAUAACUUUUAUUAGAAACUUAUAUAUCGUCGUAAAAAAUAUUUUAAAAGAAUAUAAAUUUUUUUAAUUUUUUAUAAAAAAAUAAAUCAGAUCAAGAUAUAGUUAAUAUAAAAGAAGAGAUGGGUUACAAUAAUAAAUAAUUGUAAAUUAAUAACUUGAAAAUUUUUAUAAAAAUGGAUUUGAAAGUAAUUAUUAAAAAAUUUUAAUAAUGAUUAAGCUCUAAAAUAUGU